rnacentral:rRNA from 1 species
CUACCACAUCCAAGGAAGGCAGCAGGCGCGCAAAUUACCCACUCCCAGAACGGGGAGGUAGUGACGAAAAAUAACAAUACGGGACUCUUUUGAGACCCCGUAAUUGGAAUGAGUACACUCUAAAUCCUUUAACGAGGACCCACUAGAGGACAAGUCAGGUGCCAGCACCCGCGGUAAUUCCUGUUCUAGUAGUGUAUAUUAAAGUUGUUGCGGUUAAAAAGCUCGUAGUUGGAUCUCAGUUCGAGUCGGGUGGUCCCCCAACCGGGGGUUACUGCCUGUUCUCAACACCAGCCGGUUUCUCUAGAUGAUCUUCACCGGUUGUCUUGGGUGACCGGCAAGUUUACUUUGAAAAAAUUAGAGUGCUCAAAGCAGGCGCGACGCCUGAAUAAUGUUGCAUGGAAUAAUGAAAUAGGACCUCGGUUCUAUUUUGUUGGUUUUCGGAACACGAGGUAAUGAUUAAGAGGGACAGACGGGGGCAUUCGUAUUGCGACGCUAGAGGUGAAAUUCUUGGACCGUCGCAAGACGAACUACUGCGAAAGCAUUUGCCAAGAAUGUUUCCAUUAAUCAAGAACGAAAGUUAGAGGUUCGAAGGCGAUCAGAUACCGCCCUAGUUCUAACCAUAAACGAUGCCAGCCAGCGAUCCGGCUGUGUUCCUCAAAUGACACGCCGGGCAGCUUCCGGGAAACCAAAGCUUUUGGGUUCCGGGGGUAGUAUGGUU